AACAGGAGAGACAAUUUACAAAUGAAAUAAUUGAAAAACAGGAUCAAUGUGCCAUGCGCACAAACAUGCAGGGACCGAAAUCGAAAACAUCCCGCACCCAAUAAUAUUACACUGAACCGCGGAUCAAAGUAAAAAAAUACAAAUUAGAAGGUCAAAUUAAAAAAACAAAAUAAAUAAACAGGACGCAAUUGAAGGCUCCGCGCAAAGGGAAGGACCUAACGCGUAAAUUGUCCAUUUGAAAGAACAAGGCGCGGAUCCAGGUACUCCAAUAGGCUAGCGCGCGGAUCCUUAAAAGCAUGGUCCAGCACCACGUUUUUUUCAAUGAAUUUAAAACCCUUUUUCAUCCUUUUUUCCCAAAUGCUGCCCAUCUUCCAAACAAAAAACCACAACCCUAAAAUUAAAAUUGCUAGGGUUCUUUACAUCUGCCAGAUUCACCAUUUUGUUUGGCAAUCGACAGUAUACCACCAUGAAGAGAUCCAUGCCACGUCCAUGAAAAUAUUGUGAGAUACUUUCCUUUCCCUUUUCUUUCGCAAAAAACAUUUGAAUCUCCUGUUUUUUUUAAAAAAACAGAUCGAAAUAAAAAAAAAAAAGAAAAAAUGAACCCGAAUUCAACGAUGUUCGACCCUCGCCCGUAUCCAUAUAUGAGAUGUAGGCUUUCAUUGGUGUCGAUUCAGAUUUGGCCGUACAGUGGAGGUGUGCGCGCGAGGAAUCACUCGUGGGAGUUCCAAUUUUUGGCCUAUUCUGGUACAUUCCAGAAGCUCCUAGUGCUGCUGAGAAUUUUGGGUGUAUUGGGCCUCGAGUUUUAGGGCUAAUUCUUAUUGGGUUUGGGGACUUAGAAUUUGGGCAUCUGUUAUGUAAUUGGGGCUAAAAUUUUGGAGUAUUUGGUUAGAAAAUGAGUUUAUUAGAAUUGGGUUUUAAUUUUAUGUAAAGGGUUUUGGGGUAUUUGUUUAAUUGGGUUAGGUGUUUUGUAAAUGGGCCCGGGCAAAAUGGGCCUAUUACAUAUAGAAACACAAAUCGUGAAUUCUAAACUAUUUAAAGUUAA